rnacentral:rRNA from 1 species
ACGAACGCUGGCGGUGUGCCUCAUACAUGCAAGUCGAACGGGGUAGCAAUACCUAGUGGCGGACGGGUGAGUAACGCGUGGGAAUCUGCCUUUGGGUGGGGGAUAGCAGGCCGAAAGGCCUAUUAAUACCGCAUAUGUAUAUAUCUCGACAGGGAUAUAUAUAAAAGGAGCAAUCCGCCUAAAGAUGAGCCCGCGUCCGAUUAGCUAGUUGGUAGGGUAAAAGCCUACCAAGGCAACGAUCGGUAGGUGGUCUAAGAGGAUGAUCACCCACAAUGGGACUGAGAUACGGCCCAUACUCCUACGGGAGGCAGCAGUAGGGAAUUUUACGCAAUGGGCGAAAGCCUGACGUAGCGACACCGCGUGAGCGAAGAAGCCCUUUGGGGUGUAAAGCUCUGUCAGCUGGAACGAAAAAAAUGACGGUACCAGCAGAGGAAGCAUCGGCUAACUACGU